UACAGAGGUCUCAAGCGUUGUUCGGAUUCACUGGGUUUUAAGGGUGCGUAGGUGGGCAAGUAAGUCAGUGGUGAAAUCUCCGGGCUUAACCCGGAAACUGCCAUUGAUACUAUUUGUCUUGAAUACUGUGGAGGUCAGCGGAAUAUGUCAUGUAGCGGUGAAAUGCUUAGAUAUGACAUAGAACACCAAUUGCGAAGGCAGCUGGCUACACAAAUAUUGACACUGAGGCACGAAAGCGUGGGGAUCAAACAGG
rnacentral:rRNA from 1 species